rnacentral:rRNA from 1 species
AAAUGACUCUCGGCAACGGAUAUCUCGGCUCUCGCAUCGAUGAAGAACGUAGCGAAAUGCGAUACUUGGUGUGAAUUGCAGAAUCCCGUGAACCAUNGAGUCUUUGAACGCAANUUGCNCCCGAAGCCAUUAGGUCGAGGGCACGCCUGCCUGGGGGU